AAGGCCUUGCUGGCCCAAGUGAACAAUGGCAGAAGUCCCAAACCUUCCUGGCACCCAGAGGUAGUCUCUUUGGUCUCAAGGACACAAGGCAGAUGUGAUCUGGGGCCUGAGGCCUGAGGAGUACUGGUCACAACAGUGGCUAUUCAAGGACAUGAGUCACACUCUUCUAGUGCCAAUCACCAAAUAGAACAGCCAUGUGUUCUUUAACACAUUUAUUUUUGUGUGGUUUGCGAUACUGGGGCCUUCUAAAGCAGGAGUUGGCAAACUUUUUCUGUAAAGGGCCAGAUUGUACAUGUUUUUAGCAUUGUGGUCCAUAGGGUUUCUAUUGCAACCAUUCAGUUCUGCUGUUGUAGUGCAAAAGCAGCCAAAGACAGCUUGUAAAUGAAUGAGGGUGACGGCGUUUUAAUAGAACUUUAUUAACCAAAGCAGGCCAGAUUUGGUCCAGUUGGUUGGCCCUUGUUGUAACUAACACACAAGACCUUUGGUGGGGGUCUCUCUUGCUUGUAUCUAAACACAGUUCUGACUUUUUCAUUUUUAUAAUUCUGUAAUCUAAAGGAUGAGAUCCAAAAGAAAUAGAAAACCUUUAUGUUCCUCAGCUAAACUUCACCCAGUUUUUCAUAGCUGUGAUGAGAAUGCUAGUCUUCCUAGUUGUGUGACCUUGGGAAGUUACUUAAAUCCUCUCACCUUCAGUCUCCUCAUUUGUGAAUGGUCUACUUGCUCUAUCUAGCUCCCUCAGGAGAUUGUUGAGAAAGUAAAAAUAACAUCAUGAUGAUGAAGAUAAUGAUGAUGGUGAUGAUAAUGCUUCUCAUUUGCAAAGUGCUUUUUAGUUUUCCAUUUAACCUUUAUAAGAAUCUUAUGAGAUAGUAUCAACCCCAUUUUCAAAUGUGUGGAAACAGGCACAGAGAGCGUUAAUAGCUUGUUGAGAACUACCAACUGGUAACCAGCAAAACAGGUCUCAAAACCAGGGCUCUUGAAUCCCAGUGUCAGGCCACUUUUAUUUCAACUAUGCAGAGUCUUUAUGUAAAAUAUGAAGUACUAUGUAAACCCAGUCCUUUUUGAAACACUAUUUUAUGCAUCUUGGACGUGGGACACAUUGGACUAUAAUUGUCCUAAUAUUUAAACUUUACCAUAGACAUUCUUUCAAAAUGCCUGUGACACAUUUGAGUCAUUACUGAACAAACACUAUUUAUCCCUGUAUCUUGGGUUACGCUGAUAGGAACAGAAAACAUGCCAGCUUUAUUAAUUUCUUCCCAUAUGGGCUUUUUCAUUUGGCUGCCAAUGAGCGAGCUCAUUGCCAACUCAGCAGUGAGUUACAUUAACAUGGAUUCCUCUAUUAUCUUGUCCAAAAAAUGGCUCUCACCUGUACAGGUGCAACAUGUACUUUAAGGAGGACACUUAGGAAGCUCUCCUGUGUUUGACAGGGCUCAGUGGUUAGACUUGAUACUGCAUCAUGUGUUCACCAUGGCUGUUUACUAAAUGGUGAAAAUUUUGCUAUUGUAGAUUCUAAAUCAAAGUUGAAUCUCUUUCAUUUUGGUGGGAUUACAAUUUGUCAAAUAGCUCUUGUGUUAUGGUUUGGAUCUGUGUCCCCACCCAAAUCUCCUGCUGAAUUGCAAUCCCCAAUGUUGGAGGAGGGGCCUGAUGGGAGGUGAUCGGGUCAUGGGGGUGGUUUUUCGUGAUUUAACACCGUCCUCCCCUUGGUACUGUCCUCCUGACGGUCAGUUCUCAUGGGAUCUGGUUGUUUAGAAGUGGGUAGCACAUCCCCUCUCUCUCUCUUGCUCCUGCUCCAAUAUGUAAGACGUGCCUGCUUCCCCUUCACCUUCCACUAUGAUUGUAAGUUUCCUGAGGCCUCCCCAGAAGCAGAAGCAGCUAUGCUUCCUAUACAGCUUAUAGAACCAUGAGCCAGUUAAACCUUUUUUCUUUAUAAAUUACCCAAGCUCAGGUGUCUCUUUAUAGCAGUGUGAGAACAAACUAAUACAUCUUGACACUGGACUGUUUGACAUUUAAGGUUUGGAAAUGUUUUCUAUUUUUUUGUUUGUACAAUAAAGGACAUAAUAAGAGUAGUGUCCAUGACUAAUUAAAAAUGCGAUUCUGACUGGCUCAACCCCAUGAGCUCUAUGCUUCCUUAUAUUUUCACGUAACUGUUCUCUCACAAUGCUGCUUUUUGUCACAUGAUUCUACAAUAUUAAUCUCAUAAAGCUGUGCUGCCUAACAUGGUAGUCACAGAUCACACAUGGCUAUUGAAAUUUAAAUCAGUUAAAUGUGAAAAGUCACUUCCUCUAGCCAAAUCUGAAGAGCUCAAUAGCUAUAUGCAGCAAGACACUAAACUGUAUUGGGUAGCACAGAUAUAGAAAUUUCUAUUAUUCGAGAAUGUUCUAUUGGAUGGCACUGUACAAUGGAUUUAGAAACUAAGACUGACCCACUUACUUUCUUCUUUUAAACCACCCAUACUAAGAUCAAGACUCCCAGCAACAACAGGUACCAUUACAUGUCAUGUGCCACGCACUGAACUAAGCCCUUAGUGUAUAUUAUCUCAUCAAAUCUUUGUAAUAAGCUCAUGUUAUCAUUAAGAUUUAUUUAGAACUCGAAGCUCACAUAGUAAGAGGCAAAUUUGAACUUUGAACCCAGGUCUUUCUGGCUCCAAAUCCUAAGCUCUUCAACAGUCAGCUAUACCAACUCCUCCUUCUUCUCCUCCUCCUCCCCCACUAACUCUGAUGUAGGCCUGGCCAGGCAAUCAGGGAUAACGCCAAGGCUAAAUGCCAUGCUGUACCCUGCCAAAAGCAAGGGCAGAGCUGGGCACGAGUAGGCAGCUUGAAUCAUCUUGGUGGGGGUAAUUCAGUCCCAUCUAAUUUUGGGACAAAAUGAAAGCUGUGUUCUUCAUAACAAAUGACUGAGACUUUUCACAAACUGGAUAAUUUUCCAGUGGAAAUACCCAAAUAAGAGUAAUCACUAGUAGAUCUGUUAAGAUUGGUGAGUAAAAUUUGACAUUAACCAAAAGAACUGAAUGCAUUGGCUUAUUAUUAUUAUUCUCUUCAUUCUUUUCUUUUUGAAAGUGCUGAUUUCAUUCCACACAUCCCAUGUGCCAGCUAUUAUUACAUUUCUGUGUUUCAAAAAUUUUCUCUGGGCCAAUUCGGAGAAGGCUGGCUCCUGCCCCUCAUUCAAAGCAAACAGCCCGUAUGUCUCCCUAAAUGUUGAGCUUUUACUUUGAAGCUUAAAUUUAGUCUUGUUUUUUAAUGUAAACAAAUCUGCAGAUUAGAUGGCAGAAAUGUGUGUCUCUAGGAGACAGCCUAUAGUGUUUCUUUAGCUCGUUGUGAAAACUCCAUGUUUCGCACCGAUCAUGGAUUUCUUACUACAGUCUUUCUAUUCUUCCCUCCCUUUUUCUUUCCUUUUUCCUUCACAUGUGCUAUGGUUUGGAUAUAGUUUGUCCUCACCAAAAGUGAUGUUGACAUUUGAUUCCCAGUGGGGUAGUGUUGGGAGGUGAGGCCUAGCAGGAGGUGUUUGGGUCAUGGGGGCAGAUGCCUUACAAAUACCUUGGUGCUGUAACUGCAGUAGACAGUGAAAUCUCAUUCUGGGAAGGCUGGAUCAGGAAAGGGAUUCGUUCCUACAAGAGUGCAUUGGUAUCAAGCCAGGACACCCCUUGGAUUUUGCCCCUUGGCGCAUUUCCGCUUCCCCUUUGACCUUCCGCCAUGUUGUGACGCAGCAUGAAAGCCCUCACCAGCAGCUGAGCAGAUGCCAGCUCUCUGUGUAAAUCAUCCAGUCUCAAGUAUUCUCUUACAGUAACACAAAGCAGACUAAGACAACACGGUUCCCUGAAACUUAGCUUCUCAGUUGUCUCCAUUAGCACUUUUUAAUAGGUCAUAACUUUGCCAGAGUAAGUAAAUCCAACUUGGAACAAGUCAGACUGAGGAUUUUCCCCAAAAUGAGUUUCCAUAGAAAUCAUGGUAAGCCCAUGAAAGAAAAUUUCCUUGGAAUUAAACAAAAAUGCCAUACAAUUGUCAGGAUCUAAUUCAGCCUCAUCAAACUUCAUCUAAAAGCAACGGUGCUGGAUGGCAGAAUGGAGAACUGUGUGACCUCCCUCCCAGGACCAUGGUUCUCUUGAACCUGAAUAUGUUAUUUCAGAUCCAAUCAUUAGACCAUUUAUUAAAUAUCCAUCUGGCAUAUCAGACACACUGGGUAAUUAGCAGUGAUGAGUAAGAAUACAAGAGCAGACCAAUUAUAAAACCUCCUCCUAUUAGUCAUAUGGUUACCAAUUAUCACACGCAAGCCAAAUCCUGUCCAUAGUCAACAUUCAAAAAAUAAAAUCUAUUAACAAGGCAGGCUUUUAAGUUCAUGAUGUCAGGAUUGUGCUGAACUGCACACAUCAGAAUGGAAAUACAUUAGGUCAACAGAUAGAGUGAAAAAUACAAGAUAAUAAGAUCCAGAAGAGUCAGAACCAAAAGAGCUGGGACCUGACAGAACCAUGUGGCCAAAGCUGAAUGUCAAGAUUUCACGACUUGGGCAAAAUUGUUACUAAGCUUAAUAUUGUUGCUUUGAGGGGUCUGUAAGCUUUGAGGGUCAUGAACCCUGUCUACUUUUACUCUCCCUCAUAUCUUCAGCACCAAACAGCCCCCACCUUAUAGUACAUAUUCAAUAAGCAUUUUAUAAACUAGUGACUACAUGAAUAAUGAAUAAAGUGAAAUUUGUCUUUUUGACCAGCUUUUCUAUCUUUUGUCACAAGCACUGUCUCUCUUGGUCAAAUUCUUGAGAUACCUUGCAGACUAUGAUAAGCAAUGGCCUGUUACUCAAACCUUCCUGAUUUGUUUGGUUGUUCUAUUCUUCAUCAAACCUCAACUACCUUAGAACCCUUUCUCUCAGAGCCAGUUCAUUACAUGAACUUAUUUAUGCUGGUUAAUGAAUGCAAAUAAGUGGACCUAUUCCUUAUAAUAGGCUUCCAUUUUAACAUUUUAACAUCAUGGUUAGGAGUGAGGACUUUGGAGUCAGACCUGGGUUGGAAUCUGCCACUUAGUAACUAAGACCUGGAGCAAGUUACUUAGACUUUUAGUUUCCUCAUCUGUAAAAGGAUGUAAAUAGUUCAAUACCUAUCUCAUCGUGUGGUUAUGAGCAUUAAAAGCAGUCUCCACGUAGAAUGCUUAGCACUUAGCUCACAGUAAAUCAUCAGUUCUCAGAGUGUCUUCCCACACUCCAGCAUCACCAUCACUAGUUAGUUAUGUGUUAGAAAUGCAGAUUCUCGGCUCCACGCUAGCUUUUGAAUCAGAAACUCUGGGGGUGAGGUCCAUUAAUCUGUGUUUUAAUCAGGUUUCCAGGUGAUUCUGAUGUAAGCUAAAGCUUGAGAACCACUGUAGUAAAUGUUAGCUGUAGUAAUAAUAAUAAUAAUAAAUUAUAGCUAGCAUUUAUGUUAUAAUAAUGUGUUGAUAUUGUUACUAAUUUGACAGAGACCAUCUAGAAUACUACUUUAGUUGAGUUGUGUUCCAUCCAAGUUCUGGGAAGCCUGGGGGCUCAUGGAGUUAUAUUGGAGGCCACUGCAAAAUGAGGAGGGGCAAAUCACAAAGAGAGAUCUAGGUUGUCCCCAGCCCUGCUUUGACAAGUGAGCUCAGCUUUAUCAGUUUUAUAUACUUCCGUUCCGUUCCAUUCCAUGUUAAGUUUGCUUGACAAAAGAGUUCUGCUCUGAGAUAAAUCUUGAAAAUCACUGCCUUCCCCAAAGUGCCAAUGGGAAUUGGACUGGACUAUGAGAGGGAAACAGGGGACCAGAAGAUUUUCCUGGGCUGCUCCCCACAAAGGAUGAUUAACGCCAGCCCUGCAUUCAGAUCCAAACUCCACAAACAGUCUCUGGGAAUUGUGCUGGGCACGGUGCCUUUUGUCAGACAUCAUAUUAUUCAGUCCUUACAAGGUGUUACUUCCCCUUCUUUUCAGAUGAGAAAAUGAAAGUGAAAAGAAGUUAAGUAACUUGUCCAAGGUCACACAGCUAGUGGAGCUGGGACUAGAGACAGAUCACAUGAUUCUGAGAUUUGUUCUCAUUCUCCAGGAAUGGCUGCUGGUCAUCCUGAGUGGCUAACAACACCCCCAGGGAAAUCAACCCUAGGGUGCUGGACGGACUCUGCAGAGAUGUCAGAUCCCACUUUUGGACUAAUGGACAGCAGGCAGCUGGCUUCUGCUCCACCAUUUGCUCAGCACCAAGGCCUGGGACAACUUAUUGGUUCCUUACAAAGCCACAGCAGAGCACAAUCAUGGAGGAUCCAGGAUUGCAUAGAAGGAAGCAGCCAAGCAUUGGAGGUCGACAUGCCUGUGCCCAAAUCCCACGUGUUAUGUCCUGUGUGGGUUGACACUGGGAUGGCUGGUGACCUGCUCCUUGUGUUCACACCCUGUGUAGUGGGGGUGCCUCCCAAGUGUGGGCUGGCCUAGCAACUUGCUUCUAACCAAAGGUGACAGGGUGUCACUUCUAAGAUUAGGUUUCAAGAGAUUGUAGCCUCCCUUACAAGCAGAUUCUUUAUUGCCUUCUCGGGUCACACACAUUGAUAAAGUAAGCAGGCCCAUGUGGCAAGGAACUGACAGUGACCUCCAGCCAACAGCUGGCAGGAACUGAGGCCCUUGGUCUAACUGCUCAGAUGGAACUGAAUUCUGUCAACUGCGGAAUGCCUUAGAGGCAGGUCCUUGCCCGGCUGAGCUUCCAGAUGAGCCCCCAGCCCUAGCUGACACCUGGACUGCAGCCUCAUAAGAGACCCUGAAGCAGAGGAUUCUGCAGAGACACACCCAGAUUCCUGAGGCACAGAAACUGUGAGAUAAUAAAUGUGUUUUUGCUGUU